AGGAGGCGGGGCAGCCGGCGCGCCCAGGUGGGCGAGUCUAGUCGGAACUGCAGCCCGGAGUUUGUUCCAGUUCCUUGUCCCGGCUGGAGGCUGGAAGGGAUAGUAGAAGGAAUGCGAUCUCUUGCCAUUCAUAGAGCCCCGGAGGCCACGUGAGAAAACGCUGAUGCGGCACCUCCAUCGAGGGAUCACCCCUCUUUUGGGCUUUCCUGGCGCGUGUUGUAUGAUCUGGUUACGUCCUUGGACCCUACAGACACAAAGGGAAGCUGGUUUGAAAAAACUGUUGAGUUGGCAUGCUCCCUCCGUCGUCUAGGCUGAGAAAAUAAUUUCAAGCAAGGCUGGGAAACACAAAAGUAAAUAGUAUGAAAUGAUGUCAGCAAAAAAUGGGAAAAAAGUAGGGAACUCAAGAAUGAAUAAGCUGGCAAAACCGUCAGGAGCACCUUUUUUGGAAACUCUGAAACUGAUUAAAAAAAACUCACAAAAGCCAGGGGAACAUAUAAUGAAGAAAAAACUGCUGAAUUUUGGCAAGAGAGUUCUGUGGUCAUCUUCUACUCUCCAAGUUGGCAGUGGCCUUGAAGAUGGCAGCCACAUUCCUGGUGUGGGUUGCUGGCACCAGAGGGAGCACUAUAGACCUUAUCCUCAAGGAAUUGUAGGUGUGUUUUGACCUCUCUGAUGGUUUCCUGAAGGUUCAACUCAAGGGCUUGCCUUUGUUUCACCUGCCUCAGAGCUUCCUCAGGGCUCAGGCAGCUUCCCAGGCAGUGUUUGUCAAAAACAUUAAAGGCAAACAGCCAGUGUCACAGAAAGCAAGGUAUGAAAGCCAGGACAAGCAAUAAACAGACCAAAAAUCCUGGGAAGGAAGAGGCUGGAGAAGGAGAUAGUUGGGGGAAUAAAGGCUUUGGAAAGCUUCAUUUUAUUCUGGGGAAUCUAGAAGGCCAUCGGCAUGCCCUAGUCUGGAUGCAUACUCAGAGAAAAACCUAAGAACACCGUAAACUCUCACCUCUGACUGACCUUCAGCUUUCAUGCAAGCAGUUGUAAACUACCUAGUUAAGCAUUGAAGGGGUGCCACAACACAUAGCUAACUGGCAAAGACUGGGAGUGUUUUCUCGCAUUUUGGGCUUUUAUCUUUUUAUUUUUUGGUUCCAGACAUUUAAUAAAAGAAAUCAACAACAACAACAAACUCUGGUGGGGAGUGGGAGAAGCAGAUAUCCAGAAUUACCAUAUUAUAUACAAAAUGUCCAGUUUUCAACAAGAAAAAAUUAUGAGGCAUGCAAAGAAAUGAGAAAGUAUGGCUUAUUUAAAAGGAAAAAAUUUUUAGAGAACAUUCCUUUGGGAAGCCCAGACAUUGUCGACUGUCUUCAAUAUGCUCAAAGAGCAAAGAAAAUAAUAGACAAUAACUAAAGGAAACCAGGAAAAGUGAAUUGUUCAAUAAAUAGAGGAUACUAUUAAAGAGGUAGAAAUUAUAAAAAGAAACCAAAUAGAGUUGCUGGAGUUGAAAAGCACAAUAAUUGAAAUAUAAUGUUCACUGGAGGGGUUAAAUAGCAGAUUUGAGCAGGCAAAAGAAAGAUUGGGGAAUUUGGAGAUAUAUCAAGAGUAUACAGUUUGAGGAACAGAAAGAAAAAAUAAGAAAAAUGAACAAGACCUGUAAGGAUUGUGGGACACCAUCAAGCACAGUGGGAAUUCCAAAAGGAGAGGAGAAAAGAAAGGAGUGUAAAGAAUAUUUGAAGAAAUAAUAGCUGAAAAAUUACCAAAUUUAAUGAAAGACAGGCUACACAUCUAAGAAGCUCAAUGAACUUCAGGGCGGAUAAAUUGAAAGAGAUCUACACCAAGACAAAUUGUGAUUAAAUUGUUAAAAGACAAAAACAAAGAGAAUUUUGGCAGCAGCAAGAGAGAAAUGACUGGUCAUUCCUUAAUGAAGGAAUCUUCAUUAUGAUUAACAGUAGGCUUAUCAUCAGAAACCAUGGAGCUCAGAAGGCAGUGGAAUGACAUAAGUGCUGCGAAAAAAAGCCAAAAAAGAAUCCCGAAUCUAGCAAAAGUAUCCUUAAAAAAUGAAGGAGAAAUAAAUAUGUUCCUAGAACAACAAAAACAGAGGGAGUUCAUAACUACAAGGAAUACUAAAGGAAGUCCUUCAGCCUGAAAAGAGGCUAGGAAGCCAUAUGAAGAACUAAAGAAUAUCAGUAAAGGUAACUACAUAGGUGAAAUUAAAAGUAAGUAGUUUUCUAUUUUUGGAUUUGUAACUCCUCUUUUUUAAGGAAAAAGGAUUUAAAAAAUAAAUGCAUAAAAGAAUAUUUAUAAAUCUGUGUUAGGCCGGGUGCAGUGGCUCACGCUUGUAAUCCCAGCACUUUGGGAGGCCGAGGCAGGCGAAUCACGAGGUCAGGAGAUGGAGACCACGGUGAAACCCCGUCUCUACUAAAAAAAAAAUAUAAAAAAUUAGCCGGGCGUGGUGGCGGGCGCCUGUAGUCCCAGCUACUCGGAGAGGCUGAGGCAGGAGAAUGGCGUGAACCUGGGAGGUGGAGCUUGCAGUGAGCCGAGAUUGCGCCACUGCACUCCAGCCUGGGCGACAGAGCAAGACUCUGUCUCAAAAAAAAAAAAAAAAAAAAAAAAAAUCUCUCUUAAUAAGCAUAUAAUACAUAAAGAUGUAAUUUUAGACAGUGCUACCCUAAUAGUUGGAGAGUUCAACACCUUGCAUUGCAUAAAGGCCCAGACAGAAGAUCAACAAAAAAGUUGAAGACUUGAACAACACAUAAACCAACUAGAUCUAACAGACAUUUAUAGAACAUCACUCCCUCCCAAGAACAGCAAAGUAUAUGAUAUGGUUUGGCUGUGUGUCCCCACCCAUAUCUCAUCUUGAAUUGUACUCCUAUAGUUCCCACGUGUUUUGGGUGGGACCUGGUGGGAGAUAAUUGAAUCAUGGGGGCAGUUUUCCCCAUACUGUUCUUGUGGUAGUAAGUCUCAUGAGAUCUGAUGGUUUUAUAAGGGGUUUCUGCUUUCGCUUCUCUCUCAUUCUCUCUUUGCCUGCCACCACCAUGUGAGAUGUGACUUGCUCCUCCUUGCCUUCUGCCAUGAUUAUGAGGCCUCCCCAGCCAUGUGGAACUAGAAUGCAGCAACAAGGUGCCAUCUUGGAACUGGAAACUGAGCCCUCACCAGACACUGAUCCUGCUGGUGCCUUGAUCUUGGACUCCAAGCCUCUAGAACUAUCUGAAGAAGCCUCGCAGCUUCUGCCUUGUCUCUUGGAAUUUUGUCCUUGCAAUGUUUGCCUGGUUGGAAUGCUCACUCUGGGGGUAAGCAACCAACAUAAGAAGCCUGACUGAGACCACCAACUGUGAGGAAGCCCAAGCUAGCCACUUGGAGAGAGAGAGACACCUGGCCAGCACCCAGCUGUUCCAGGUAUCCCAGUCACCAGAUAGCUGAAGAAAGAAGCCAUCUUGAAUGUUAAACAAAUUGAUAUCGAACGUUAAGAUGAAUCAAGUCCCAGCCAACAUCUGAAGGUAACUGCAUGAGAGAUGCCAACUGAGCCCCCUCAAUCAACAGAACCAUGAAAGAUAAUAAUAAAUUGUUUUAAGCUA